rnacentral:rRNA from 1 species
UCUGACGGAGCAACGCCGCGUGAACGAAGAAGGUCUUCGGAUUGUAAAGUUCUGUGAUUCGGGACGAAAGGGUUUGUGGUGAAUAAUCAUAGACAUUGACGGUACCGAAAAAGCAAGCCACGGCUAACUACGUGCCAGCAGCCGCGGUAAUACGUAGGUGGCAAGCGUUGUCCGGAAUUAUUGGGCGUAAAGCGCGCGCAGGCGGUUUCUUAAGUCCAUCUUAAAAGCGUGGGGCUCAACCCCAUGAGGGGAUGGAAACUGGGAAGCUGGAGUAUCGGAGAGGAAAGUGGAAUUCCUAGUGUAGCGGUGAAAUGCGUAGAGAUUAGGAGGAACACCGGUGGCGAAGGCGACUUUCUAGACGAAAACUGACGCUGAGGCGCGAAAGCGUGGGGAGCAAACAGGAUUAGAUACCCUGGGUAGUCCACGCCGUAAACGAUGGAUACUAGGUGUAGGAGGUAUCGACCCCUCCUGUGCCGGAGUUAACGCAAUAAGUAUUCCGCCUGGGAAGUACGAUCGCCAGAUUAAAACUCAAAGGAAUUGACGGGGCCCGCACAAGCGGUGGAGUAUGUGGUUUAAUUCGACGCAACGCGAGAA